CUACGGGGUGCUCCAGUAAGGAAUAUUGCGCAAUGGAGGCAACUCUGACGCAGCCAUGCCGCGUGCAGGAAGAAGGCCUUAUGGGUCGUAAACUGCUUUUAUUUAGGAAUAAACCCCCGAACGUGUUCGGGGCUGAAGGUACUAAACGAAUAAGCACCGGCUAACUCCGUGCCAGCAGCCGCGGUAAUACGGAGGGUGCAAGCGUUAUCCGGAUUUAUUGGGUUUAAAGGGUGCGCAGGCGGGCUAUUAAGUCAGUGGUGAAAUCCCGGGGCUCAACUCCGGAACUGCCAUUGAUACUGAUAGUCUUGAGUUUGGUUGAAGUGGGCGGAAUGUAGCAUGUAGCGGUGAAAUGCAUAGAUAUGCUACAGAACACCAAUCGCGAAGGCAGCUCACUAAGCCAAAACUGACGCUCAUGCACGAAAGCGUGGGGAUCAAACAGGAUUAGAUACCCGCGUAGUC
rnacentral:rRNA from 1 species